rnacentral:rRNA from 1 species
GACGUAGGGGGCGAGCGUUGUCCGGAAUUAUUGGGCGUAAAGAGCUCGUAGGCGGCUUGGCGAGUCGGUUGUGAAAUCCCGCGGCUCAACUGCGGGUCUGCAGUCGAUACGGGCAGGCUAGAGUUCGGUAGGGGAGACUGGAAUUCCUGGUGUAGCGGUGAAAUGCGCAGAUAUCAGGAGGAACACCGGUGGCGAAGGCGGGUCUCUGGGCCGAUACUGACGCUGAGGAGCGAAAGCGUGGGGAGCGAACAGG